GGAGGGGGCGAGCGUUAUUCGGAUUUACUGGGCGUAAAGCGCACGUAGGCGGCUAGGGGUAUGUCAAAGGGUGAAAGCCCUCGACUCAACCGAGGAACUGCCUUUGAAACUGCUUGGCUUGAGUCCCGGGAGAGGGGAGCGGAAUUCCCAGUGUAGCGGUGAAAUGCGUAGAUACUGGGAGGAACGCCGGUGGCGAAGGCGGCUCCCUGGACCGGCACUGACGCUGAGGUGCGAAAGCGUGAGUAGCAAACAGGAUUAGAUACCCUGGUAGUCCACGCCGUAAACGAUGGGCACUAGGUGCAGCGGGUGUCGACCCCUGCUGUGCCGAAGCUAACGCAUUAAGUGCCCCGCCUGGGGAGUACGGUCGCAAAGGCUG
rnacentral:rRNA from 1 species